UACGGAGGGGGGCUAGCGUUGUUCGGAAUUACUGGGCGUAAAGCGCACGUAGGCGGCUUUGUAAGUUAGAGGUGAAAGCCCGGGGCUCAACCCCGGAAUUGCCUUUAAGACUGCAUCGCUAGAAUUGUGGAGAGGUAAGUGGAAUUCCGAGUGUAGAGGUGAAAUUCGUAGAUAUUCGGAAGAACACCAGUGGCGAAGGCGACUUACUGGACACAUAUUGACGCUGAGGUGCGAAAGCGUGGGGAGCAAACAGG
rnacentral:rRNA from 1 species